rnacentral:misc_RNA from 1 species
GUGAGUCAUCGAAUCUUUGAACGCACAUUGCGCCCCGCGGCAUCCCGCGGGGCAUGCCUGUCCGAGCGUCAUCCUACCCCCCUCGAGCCCGCGCUCGGUAUUGGGCCAGGUCCGCCGUGGCCGGCCUUCAAGUCAGCGGCGGCGCCACCGCGACUCUGAGCGAACGUAGGUGUUCUGCCGCUCAAGGGUCCCCGUGGUCGCCCGCCAUACGCCGUUCUCCGGCUUGACCUCGGAUCAGGUAGGGCUACCCGCUGAACUUAAGCAUAUCAAUAAGCGGAGGA